rnacentral:antisense_RNA from 1 species
UCGGAGUGCAGCGGGGUCAGGAUGGACGAGGACGUGUUGCACCCUGAAGAGCCUCAUCAUCGGCGAGAGUGGGGUUGGCAAGUCCAGCCUGCUCUUGAGGUUCACAGAUGAUACCUUUGAUCCAGAACUUGCAGCAACAAUAGACAAUGCAGGAAUCACAUGAACCUGUCCAUCCACAGAUAAAGUGGUAAAGAAACUGCCGUAUUAGAUACAUGAUGGUAUACUCUUCAGCCAUAAAGCUUUGGGAAACCCUGUCAUCCGCAACCACGUGGAGAAACCUGUCCAUCCACAGAUGAAGGGAUCAGGAAACUCUGGUAUAUAUACUUUAGGGAAAUGCUUUUUGGCUACCAAAAUAAUGAAAUUAUGUUGUUUGGAGCAACACAGAUGAACCUGUCCAUCCA